rnacentral:rRNA from 1 species
AGUGAACGCUGGCGGCGUGCUUAACACAUGCAAGUCGAACGAGAACGGAUUAUAGCUUGCUAUAAUUGUCAGCUAAGUGGCGCACGGGUGAGUAAUGUAUAGGUAAUAUGCCUCUUACUAAGGGAUAACAAAUGGAAACGUUUGCUAAUACCUUAUACUCCUUAUUAACAUAAGUUAAUAAGGGAAAGAUUUAUUGGUAAGAGAUUAGCCUGUAUUGUAUCAGUUAGUUGGUGGGGUAAUGGCUUACCAAGACUAUGACACAUAACUGGUUUGAGAGGAUGAGCAGUCACACUGGAACUGAGACACGGUCCAGGCUCCUACGGGAGGCAGCAGUGGGGAAUAUUGCACAAUGGACGAAAGUCUGAUGCAGCAACGCCGCGUGGAGGAUGACACAUAUCGGUGCGUAAACUCCUUUUAUAUGAGAAGAUAAUGACGGUAUUAUAUGAAUAAGCACCGGCUAACUCCGUGCCAGCCGCCGCAGUAA